AGUUAAUUGUGUGUUUUGUAACAAAAAUAAAUCAUAUAUGUAUAUAUAUCUAUAUUGGUCUCUGCCGGUCUCUGCCGAUCUCUGCCGAGCGGUGGAGGCUGUGUGCUGUUUUUCAAUCGCCCAAACAGGACGGGACCAGUUGUCCAAUUGCUGACAAGAAAAUCAAAGGGUAGGAAUGGGAAUGUAGCCAAUCAGCAUCGACGUUGUUUCAGAACGUUUCAGAAGCAUGAUGGGCGAUAGAGCUACCGCCAAGGCUUUCGUUGAUGUUCGGUAGAACUCGGAGAGUCUCGACUCCAGCACGUUUUGACGGUCGUGACGCAGACGUAGACAGUGCGCCUACAACCAGGAUACCGGAUCUCAGCAGCCACUGAAUUCAGUUCGGUCUCCUCCAGUAUCCGUUCGAGAGGAGAACUAUGGUGGAAAAACUUAAUGUCAAAGAGCUUGGACCAGAUCAGCCCGACGUAAAGAUAAGCCAGCAGGACAAGGAGAAGGGUAAACUGUACACACGACGCUUCUCCCAAAAUUGGUACACCAGGAAGCAGUGGCUAGCUGGAUGCAAUCACGCUAAUGCGUUAUUUUGCUUUCUGUGUUUGUUAUUCAAAACGGCUGGGAUCCACAGAAGGUGGAUGUGGAACUUGUGUCUCAUUGGGGACUCCAUUCAUUCUCUGACUGAGGAAUGCAGCGCAUCAGUGCAGCAGCCAACAAAGAAACGGAGGACGUUUGGACAGGGAGAACAGCAGCUGGGUGCAGAGGCUAAAUCUACCCAAGACAUUGGCUGUCAGACUGAUUUAGUAGUCUGCAAGAAUGCUCUUGUCCAGCCUGACGUGAAGCCUUACCCGUAGCAAAGCCACCCAGUUUUGAGCUCCCAGCUGCUGUGUGUCUUGCGACACAGGGACCAUGACGGAAAUUCAUCUUCCAGAAAGUCGGGCUCAUCAUUUAGCCAGAUUUCUAAGUUCCUGGGUGCCUUCAGUGUGCAGGGACUGUCCAAGCAGACAUUCUAUCAACAUCAGGCAAAGCUCUUAAUUCCAACAGUGAGCUGGCAGUGGCAGCUAGAGCAAGCUGAUUUCAUCCAGGAGGCUACUGAAUCUGGACCUGUGACUCUUGGUGGUGACAUGCGAGCUGAUUCACCUUGUGAAUACGUUUACAUUUAUUUAUUUUAUUCCUUUGCUAUCAAAUGUAAAUUAAGUAAUAACUUGCAUUUCUGAAGGACACUCAGCCAAAUAUGGCAGCUACACCAUGAUGGAUCUCAAAAGAAACAGUUAUUGAUAUCCAACUCGUACAGAGCAAUGAAGUUGGAAAUAGUGUGCAAAUGGAGAAGGAGGGAUUUGUGCAAAGUCUGAGCACACUUUUGGAGAGGGGGGGUCGAUGUGCAGCAAGUUGUGACUGACCGCCACACAGGAGUGCAGAAGCAUUUGCGGGAGGGAAAAAAAGGAAAUCAGUCACUACUUUGACCCCUGGCACAUGGGAAAAGGUAAUCUUUGGGGAUGUAUAGAGUGAAUAUUACAGGAUUUUUUUUUUCUAUUUUAAAUGUGGGUCUAUUUGGCUCUCCAUAAAUUGGUAAGAAAAUCGAAGAGCUGGGGAAGAGAAAGACGACCCAGGAUGUGAGACUGUGGAAGCAAAGAGUGGUGAACCACCUCUACUGGUCAGCAUCCCUCUUUAUUCCAGAUUGGUUCGGCAUGUACAUGCUAAUGUGGUGAUACAUAACCCAAACCAAUAUUACAAUAACAUAAACUCGUACACAAAGCGCUCCUCUUGAUAGAGCAAAUCUGUUCAGCACAUUCUGACAGACAGACCACCUUUCUUCUGUCAUGUUGCUGUACAGGACAUUUUUAGAGUUUUUCUUUUAAAAGAUGAAUAGUAUUACAUUUAAAGAGCAAUACUUUCACAUGAUCAUUUUCCCACACUUUCUGUAUACCUGUAUUUUGUUGUUUUUCAAUAAAGAAUGACAAAUUAUUUAAGUUCAUGGUUUUUUAGCACACAAAUAUCUGUCUGUAAAAAAUAUCAACAAAGCUAAUGUUUACAUAACAAGUAUGAUUGGGUUUUGAAAUACAGCACUCUGUUUAUUUUAGUAAGAUUUUUAAACCAAGUAAAGUUAGUAAAGAACACAUUUCUAUUGUCUGCUAAGAAACUGUUGGACUUAAAACAGGCCAGUUGUAGAAACAACUUGGCAUAAAUGACUCUUCCUUCAUUUUUUGUCUUAACCAAAGAAAUUCCAGUAAUUGAGCAAAAACAUUAAUUUUUUUACAUCACAUUUUAUAAAAUAACAGGACACAAAGUGUCGGUACAUUUAAAAAAUACUAAAAAUAAUAAAAGGGGCCCAGAGAGCUGCAGAGUGAGUGGAACAUUGGGUUGUGAAGGAAGAACAGUUCUCAACAGUGUGAUAUGAGGGUGUAGAAGGUGAAGCCGGUGCAGGUCCCCCAUCAUGUUCACCAGCUUCACACUGCUGACCACCCCCAUGUCAUUGCUGCCACAGUGGAUGAGAAGGACAUCAGGAGCUGCUCUUCCAUGCAUGGAGUUGAAAAAGAAGGGGAGAAGGUCUUUCCACCUCAGUCCGCCCCAACCGAACCAGGAGACACGGACGUCAGGGAGGCCAAGGUUGUCUCCGAGGGUCUCUGCAGCUCUCUGGGCACCACGCCUCACUCAGCUGUCACUGAUUAUCCAAAUGGCUAUGGAGCAAAAAAUAACAGGUUUGGCCUAGCUGUUUAAAGUACAAAACCAUACAUGAAGUGGUCAAGACAGGUACUUGGAACUUACACGCUGCGUUGUGUAGCUGACGUUGAAGACACAUGGUGCUGCCAUGGUGACCUUUUAACAGAUCUAAGAAAAAAAUGUAAUAAAAGAGUGAAACUUAAAAACUCCCAGACCUCAAUUCAUGAUUGCUAAUCAGCUAUGGCUGAUUUAUUGUUUGGAUCACAGUGAGUUACACUAAUUCUAAUAUAUUUUUAUUUCUAUUACACAUACAUAUUUUUUAACUGUUAUUUUCACAUGACUUAUCAGGCUCUCUCGUUCUGGUUCUCAUGAUAAUAAUUCUGUUUCUUCCAGUUCCCCUGUGCCCUGGGAGGGUUUCAAACACUGCCUUCUUCUGCUGGAGACCAUGGCGCGCUGCUGCGGCGCAUUAUUCGGUUAUUGUUACCGGUAUGUAAAACGCUUGGUCUCAGAUUUUGUAAGAAAAAUAAAAUUUCCCCCCAAAAUACGACUUAUAUAUGUUUUUUUUCUUCUUCAUUAUACAUUUAAUGGCUGGUGCGACUCAGGGGCGACUUAAUAGUCUUGAAAAUAUGGUACGUGAAAAAUAGUGAAAAGUUGCUCAAAGCAAAAUAUAUUUUUCUUACGGAAAUAACUUAUAAACUUACCGAUGUAAUAUUUUUUAUUCACAGAAAGGUACUUCUCAUGAAAAAGCGCCGCAAACCUCCACCUGAACUCCAUGCGGUCGAUGGGUGUUCCACAGAGUUAGCUCCGGUUGUAGCUAGAUGGCUACAUCCAUUAGCUCGGCUCCCACCUCCGCGUCAGCUUUAGGUUAGCUUCAGGUUAGCUUCAGGUUAGCUUGUAGCUAGUUCGGCCGGGUGUCGUCAGUUGAUCCCAGCCUUACAGCCCCACCCUCAGCUCCUCCUCUCUUCCCUUUUAUGGAGUUGUCUGGGCUUGAUGAAACCUGUGACACAGUCAUAAUGGCGGUGGUGGCUACCUCCGAUUUUAGCACAAAAACUUGUUAUUGGAGGCUAUGGAAACCCAUUGUCCAUAUAUUAAUGUCGAUGGUUUGUACGCGUGUAUGUGAACCUAUGGUGUGAACCAGUUGUUAAUAGCUGUCCUACGACUCUCUGCCUCUCUGUCCUGUUUGCUCCGGUUGAAAGACACCCAAAACCACACCCCCUUCACGUGGUCACACACACACACACAAGUUCGGUGUGUGUGUGUGUGUGUGUGUGUGGUUUUUGUGCAGUGUCUGUUUACGAACACAUUUGACUAUCGCAGAAUUGUAUUUUGAAAUGCUUUAUUUUGUUAAAUUUACCAGCCUGCCUCUUAUGUCUAGGUUUGACCUCCUGCCAGAAUUGACGCGGUCCGCCCGCGGCUUGCGAAAAAAAUUGAGCAGACGCCGAAACGAUUGCUGCAUGGCGCAGGCUGGAGCGCCGGCGCGCGGUGCUUCGUGGCGCUUCGGCGGCCCAUGUGGUCUGUAGAAUUGGAUAACAAGGGCGCAGAAUGAAGGCGGCCCCAAUUUCACUGCGCUUCUGCAGCCGGUGUGUCCCCGGCGUCAAGUCUACCCCUUUAUAAAGUCUACAGACUAGAGGCUGAGAGAGAAGGACUUUUGGCUUAAUGUAGGCACCAGUGGCGACUUGAGUUGGCUGGAUAUAUUUACAGAGCUGUUUUGUAAAGCUCCCCCAUACCAGUGCUCUUUAGUAAGCAGAGUCAGGUGGGGCGUUUUCUUUUGUUGCUCGGUCCAGCUCUUAUUUGUAAGAUCCUGAGAUUUCCUCCUCCUGGGUAAGGCAAGGUUAAGUUUUGUUUUGGGACAGAGGUAGUAGGUAACUUUAAAUAGUGAUUCACUUAGCAGUCAUAUUAGUUUGAUUUCUUUCCUUACAGGUGGUUGUCUUAGUUUCCUCUCCCGUUGGGACACCUUUUGUUAAUAAUAAACCGUUUGAUUUAAGGUGAUUGGUUUGGGUCUUGGUCUGUUUUAUCCACCUUUUUGUUUUAAGCCUCUGUUGGGUAUUUUUUUAUUCUAAAACGAACUACACAGGAGAAAAGGUUCAGUAGGUUUUUUACGCUGGAUACAGCGGAGAGAGACAGGUCGAGAGCCUGUUAGGCCCUCGUCCAAUCAACUCUGGCCUCCCCUCUGCACCACAGUGGGUUUUAUUGAAACACAGGGAAAAAAGGACAAAGAGCAAUCCAUCGCGGUCUACACUUAGCCAAUUACAGUGCUGCUUUUAGGCUAAGGUGGGAUAUUCCAAAAAGGAAAUCUUAAUUUAUGACUGACAGCGAGAAACUCAGUAACCAUGGAUACCUGUUAGGCAGGCUAUUCCCUAACCCCCAUACAAACAAACAUCAGGGCUUAUCAGCCGCCUUCCAGAGCCAAAAGAGAAAGAGAAAGCCCUGUGGUUUACGUAACAAUAUACGAUUAACAUAUGAUUACUUAAAAAGGAACAUUUAAGACAGUAAUACAAUAAAAUCCCUAACAGCCUCCCAGGGUUUCCUAGACCUGGUUGGGGAUGUAACAAUUACUAUUGACUUUUCAAGCCUACCCAUUGGGAUUUACUAAAUUAUUGUAUUUGUUUUUAUUUUUUUAUUUUUGUUUUAAUUACCAUGCCAUAAUAUAUGUCUGAUUUUGUGA